rnacentral:rRNA from 1 species
CCCUUAGAUGCUCUGGGCCGCACGCGCGCUACACUGGUCGAUGCAACGAGUUUCUUUCCUUGGCCGACAGGCCUGGGCAAUCUUUGAACAUCGAUCGUGAUCGGGAUAGAUUCUUGUAAUUUUUGAUCUUAAACGAGGAAUUCCUAGUAAACGCAAGUCAUCAGCUUGCAUUGAUUACGUCCCUGCCCUUUGUACACACCGCCCGUCGCACCUACCGAUUGAAUGGUCCGGUGAAAUCUCCGGACUGGCGUGAGUCGGAGCAAUCUGACAAACGCCGGAAAGUUGAUUAAACCUUACCAUUUAGAGGAAGGUGAANUCGUAGCA